rnacentral:rRNA from 1 species
UACAGAGGAUGCAAGCGUUAUCCGGAAUGAUUGGGCGUAAAGCGUCUGUAGGUGGCUUUUUAAGUCCGCCGUCAAAUCCCAGGGCUCAACUCUGGACAGGCGGUGGAAACUACCAAGCUGGAGUACGGUAGGGGCAGAGGGAAUUUCCGGUGGAGCGGUGAAAUGCGUAGAUAUCAUUUGGAACGCCAAUGGUGAAAACAGCUCGCUGGGGGUGCACUGACACUGAGACACGAAAGCCAGGGGAGCGAACGGG